rnacentral:rRNA from 1 species
UAAGGCGAUUAUAUCGGAGGUGCUCCACCUGUUCCCAUUUCGAACACAGUAGUGAAAUCCUCCAGAGCCGAUGGUAGUGUGAUGAACGCGAGAGUAGGUCGUCGCCUUAC